rnacentral:rRNA from 1 species
AACGUAGGGUGCAAGCGUUGUCCGGAAUUAUUGGGCGUAAAGAGCUUGUAGGCGGUUUGUCGCGUCUGCUGUGAAAUUUCGGGGCUCAACCCCGAACUUGCAGUGGGUACGGGCAGACUAGAGUGUGGUAGGGGAGACUGGAAUUCCUGGUGUAGCGGUGAAAUGCGCAGAUAUCAGGAGGAACACCGAUGGCGAAGGCAGGUCUCUGGGCCGAUACUGACGCUGAGGAGCGAAAGCGUGGGGAGCGAACAGG